rnacentral:rRNA from 1 species
GACGAACCGUGCGAACGUUAUUCGGAAUCACUGGGCUUAAAGGGCGCGUAGGCGGGCGGCCAAGUCAGAGGUGAAAGCCCCCAGCUCAACUGGGGAAGUGCCUUUGAUACUGGUCGUCUCGAGGGAGAUAGGGGCGUGCGGAACUUCCGGUGGAGCGGUGAAAUGCGUAGAUAUCGGAAGGAACACCGGUGGCGAAAGCGGCGCGCUGGAUCUCUUCUGACGCUGAGGCGCGAAAGCCAGGGGAGCGGAACGGG